rnacentral:rRNA from 1 species
CCUCGGGUGGUAGUAGUGAGGAAGAGUGGUCAACGGACGAGAGUCCGAACCAGUCAAGUAGCGUGAAGGAGGACGGUCCUAUGGGUUGUAAACUUCUUUUAUAUGGGAAUAAAAUGUUCCACGUGUGGGAUUUUGUAUGUACCAUAUGAAUAAGGAUCGGCUAACUCCGUGCCAGCAGCCGCGGUAAUACGGAGGAUCCGAGCGUUAUCCGGAUUUAUUGGGUUUAAAGGGAGCGUAGGUGGAUUGUUAAGUCAGUUGUGAAAGUUUGCGGCUCAACCGUAAAAUUGCAGUUGAAACUGGCAGUCUUGAGUACAGUAGAGGUGGGCGGAAUUCGUGGUGUAGCGGUGAAAUGCUUAGAUAUCACGAAGAACUCCGAUUGCGAAGGCAGCUCACUGGACUGCAACUGACACUGAGGCUCGAAAGUGUGGGUAUCAAACAGGAUUAGAUACCCCUGUAGUC